CCUACGGGUGGCAGCAGUGAGGAAUAUUGGUCAAUGGGCGCGAGCCUGAACCAGCCAAGUCGCGUGAGGGAAGACGGUCCUAUGGAUUGUAAACCUCUUUUGUCGGGGAGCAAAAGACGCCACGCGUGGCGGUCCGAGAGUACCCGAAGAAAAAGCAUCGGCUAACUCCGUGCCAGCAGCCGCGGUAAUACGGAGGAUGCGAGCGUUAUCCGGAUUUAUUGGGUUUACAGGGUGCGCAGGCGGAAGAUCAAGUCAGCGGUAAAAUUGAGAGGCUCAACCUCUUCGAGCCGUUGAAACUGGUUUGCUUGAGUGAGCGAGAGGUAUGCGGAAUGCGUGGUGUAGCGGUGAAAUGCAUAGAUAUCACGCAGAACUCCGAUUGCGAAGGCAGCAUACCGGCGCUCAACUGACGCUCAUGCACGAAAGUGUGGGUAUCGAACAGGAUUAGAUACCCCAGUAGUC
rnacentral:rRNA from 1 species